rnacentral:lncRNA from 1 species
GGAAAGAUAACUUCACUUACUAACAUCUCUGAUGCUAUGGCUUACAUGUUGACAGUUGAGACCUGCUGAGUUUACUCAUUUAUUGUGUGAUGUGUUAACUUGCUUUUGUAGUUUGUAUAUGCCAACAUAUGUCAUCUUGUUUUAUGGUUAGUAGUAUUUCAACAUGAUUUUCCUAUUCAUCAUGCAUGAAAACAAGACUGCAGUAAGGUGCUACAGAGCUAGGAGAUCUUGGUGUAUACUACAAUAUAUUAAUACGGAGGGAUUCCUUUGUCACAUGAUUUGAUAAGAUAUAUAGUACAGUACGGAAGUUAUUGUUAUAUUUUGUAAUCAUAUUCUUGAUGUACCGUUUCAGGUAUUUUCUUUUCAGAGAUUUGGCCAUUCAACUUUUGUUCUGAUUGCUAAUUGCCUUUAUGUGAAGAACUUUGUAUGGAUUAGUUGAUAUGGUCAGUGGUCAAACUGUUUGAGUUGCAAAAUUGUUUGAAAUUUCAAAUCUACAGGUUGUAUAUAUACAACCGGAUAUGAUGUGCAUCAUGCGUAGCUGUCUUCUUAGUUUUGUCUGUUAGCAUUAAUUAAUAUCUACUUUUUUGCAGACUUUUUUUUUAAUAUUUGAUGUACUUCAGAUGUUGAGCAUAAUAACGGAGAUGGUGCAUAUGAGGAUUUUUCUCUCCCGUUACAACACAGUUUAUAUUCUGGGUUGCGCCAGUUGCUUUCGGUUGGCGACGACUGCAAUGUAGUUAUCACCAUGCUCCUUAUGUUACUGGAAACAUCAUUCUUGAUUAUUUCUCCUUGUGUUACUGGUCACCAUCAUUGUUGAUUAUUUCUCCUUCCGUUCUGUUAUCCAAUAGAUAUUCUCUUAGUACAUGUAUAUUUGGGUGACAAAGGAGCAAGCCAUCCCUAAUUAAACCCCAAAUUGGAGAGAUAUGAUGUUUUCUAUCUGAAUGUUGUUUCAUAGAAUUAAUCAUUGGUUUAGUUUGAGAGAUUAAACCCAAAUAAGUUUAUG